UACAGAGGGUGCUAGCGUUGUUCGGAAUCAUUGGGCGUAAAGGGCGUGUAGGCGGUUUGUUAAGUCAUGUGUGAAAUCCCUCGGCUCAACCGGGGAACGACGCAUGAAACUGGCAAGCUAGAGUACCAAAGAGGGGGGUGGAAUUCCCGGUGUAGCGGUGAAAUGCGUAGAUAUCAGGAAGAACACCCGUGGCGAAGGCGGUUCUCUGGGACGGUACUGACGCUGAGACGCGAAAGCGUGGGGAGCAAACAGG
rnacentral:rRNA from 1 species